rnacentral:rRNA from 1 species
GACAGAGGGUGCAAACGUUGCUCGGAAUUACUGGGCGUAAAGCGUGUGUAGGCGGCUACAUAAGUCGGAUGUGAAAGCCCCGGGCUCAACCCGGGAAGUGCACUCGAUACUGCGUAGCUUGAGUCUCGGAGAGGUUGGUGGAAUUCUCGGUGUAGAGGUGAAAUUCGUAGAUAUCGAGAGGAACACCGGUGGCGAAGGCGGCCAACUGGACGAAGACUGACGCUGAGACACGAAAGCGUGGGGAGCAAACAGG